UCUUUUUGAUUUUUUCCCCUUUUUUUUAAAAUUUUUUUUGGUUCUGGUUAACUUUUUCAUCUUCUUCACGCAUUUAUUGUGUUUCAAUUCACAUUAUCAUCGUCAAGUUCGGUUACGUAUGUAGAUACUUUUCGUAUUCUGAAGGAGAUAUGGAAACAAUGGGUAUUAAUGUUCUUGAUUUGAAAAUUUACUCUCUGCAUUAUUGUUUUGUAUUGAAAUACUCUACAAAUUCUGAUUUUAUUUGCUUCUGCAGAAAGUGGGCGUUUGGGUAUCCUCAUUUGCAUCAGAACGCCCAAAUUGUGUCAAAACAUUGAGUCUUGUUUUCUUCGAUUAUCUGUGUACAUUAUUUGAGCAGAGCUGAUUGAAUGAGGAAGUCAAUUAAGUUUUAAUAAUGCACAGGAGGAAUAGCAGUUGAAUGGAGCUUUUUAUGUUGGUUUGUAAAACUGGAGUUAUGGCUGCCUGCUUUUGUAAAAAUUAGUGUGGAUGGUAUGAUGAAUUGGAGCUUAGGCUUUAGUGGAGGCUGUGAUUUUCAUUUUCUGAAAUGGGGAUCACAAAGGAUGAGGUAAGAGCCUAAAAAUGGAUUCAAAAGAGGAUGGGGAGGGACAUGAGGACCGGCCAACAUCACCGUAUGGGGUGCUGCAUCAUUUGUCCGAGGAGGCAGUUGAAGUGGCUGGUGAAGCAGUGCACAGUGUGCACUUAGGUAACCCUAACUCCCAGUCAGGGCCAGGACACAGGCGAAGUCAAAGCGAAGUUACGCCUGUGGUGCACAGACGUACCAGCAGUUUUCAGAGGUUGAAGAGUCAGGUACAGAAGGCAUGGCGAUGGGGUGCCAAUUCAAGGGAGCGUGAUUACAACCCAAACUUCAACCCUGAGGUCUUGGGUAACCAAAAACGCCAGUGGUAUCAGCUUCACUCCAAAACUCUGGAACAUGUACAGUAUAAGGACCCCACAUCACUUUUUGAGCACUUCAUCAUUGUGGGUCUUCAUCCAGAUGCAAAUCUUGAAGUUGUGGAGAACGCAUUUGCAAAAAGGAAAAAAUGGGAGUUGGAUAUGAAAAAAUCUGGAUUAAUAGAAAUGCUAGAUUAUCGAGGUCCUUCUUUUCCAACAUUGGAGCCUCAGACACUUUUUAAAUAUCCUCCUGGGAAGAGAUUAGCAAUGCGCCUGAAGGAUCUGUCUGCCUUCUGUUUCCCUGGAGGUGUUAAGGCACGGUUGCUGGAGAGGACUCCGUCACUAAGUGAUCUCAACGAACUAGUUUAUGGACAGGAGCAUUUAGGGAGAGAUGAUCUGUCAUUUGUAUUUUCACUUAAGGCGGUGGACAAUGCUACACUUUAUGGGGUUUGCUUACAUGUCACAGAAAUGGUUCAGAAGCCUCCUGGCAUCUUAGCUACCUCAUCACCCCUUUCUCAAUCAUCAGGAAGGUGCUGCCGUUAUUUAGUUUCUGCGCCUCGCUGCUACUGUGUGCUAACCAGGGUUCCUUUCUUUGAGUUGCAUUACGAGAUGUUGAACAGUAUCAUUGCACAGGAGCGUUUAAAUAGGAUAACACAGUUUGUCACGGAAAUGUCUCUCACCAGUUAUGUCCCUUCAGCAGCCAAACUUCAUUGUCAAAUGAAUGGGUAUGUUGAGUCUCCUCGUACGGACUGCAGUGCUGAUUUGAUGGCUUCUGCAAUACCUGUUGACAGUGCAGUGGCUCUUGCAGCUGCUGCCACUGGAAUCAUAUCAGAUGAUGAAAUCCAAUCCUCUUCAUUAAAGAUGUCGGACCCACCAUCUCCUGAAAGUGUCACUGCCAGUGAAUCUUCAGAUCUUCGUCAAGCAAGGGAAGUAGACAAAGAUGGAAGGAGGAACUCACAGUAUUUUGAUGAAUGUGCCUCUGAGGUGUCGGAAACUCGUUUUGAUGCUCUAGAAAGAAUGUACAGCAGUGGGGAAGUUGGCCAGGUUUCUCCAGUGAUAGGUUCCUUUUGGUGCUUUAGGAGCCGCACAAUGGAGGGUGUUGGGAGUUCUGAGUGCCUUUUCAGUCCAGUCAGAAGCAUGGCAUCAGAAGACGAGGAUGACAUACUUUUCUUGAACUCUGAAAAGGAUUUUGGUGAUGAAUUAAUAAUGGAAUGGGCAAGGGAAAACAAAAACGAUCUACUACAGAUAGUCUGCAGCUAUCACGCUCUGCCUAUUCCUGCCAGAGGAAGUGAAAUAGUGUUUCGGCCUCUCGAACAUUUACAGGCAGUUGAAUAUAGACGACCUUCAGUUGAAGCCUUUGGCAUUCCUGGAAAAUAUCUAGAUUCAAUAGAAGCCGCUGAGGUCAAUGCAAAGUUGGCUGCUGCCGAGGAAGCACUUGCUUUGUCAAUUUGGACAACCGCAACUAUGUGCCGAGUUCUGUCACUUGAAAGUGUUUUGCACUACUGGCUGGGGUGUUACUAGAAAAACAAGUUGUAGUGGUCUGCCCUAACCUGGGUUUCCUAUCAGCUACAGUCUUAUCUGUUGUUUCCAUGAUUCGUCCUUUUCAAUGGCAGAGUAUAUUGCUUCCAAGAUAGCAAUCGGAUUCCCAGCCAAAUUGUGAAGGAGUAGGGCAAGGGGCUGUUAUUUUGGUUAAACAACUCUCAUGCGCAAGGCUCCAUUGGUAUGUGAGAUUCUACCUGGAAGGAUGCUUGACUUUCUAGAUGCACCAGUUCCCUUUAUAGUUGGUAUUAACAUAAACCUGCUGAUUUGAAGAUUAAAACAUCUAAUCUUGUUCUUGUUAAUGUGCUGAAAGACCAGGUGAAAAUGUGUCAUUUGCCCACACUCCCUCGACAUAGAGAGCUUGUUGCUGAACUUGGGUCAAUUCACGCCAGGCUCUCAUUUGAAAAUUCUUCUGCUAAAAGGCAUCCGGUAUAUAGGUGUAGUGAAGGGCAGGUGUGUAUCAAUUCCCACAUACAAGAAGGCAAUGAAUUGAACUAGGUGCCAUUAAGAAGAUGAACUCUUCUAAAAUUUUUAGUAACUGCCUAGACUGUAGGAAUUUCCACUGGUAAUGAAUUUGAAGUUGACUAAUGUUAUGUUGUGCAAGGCCUACCGCAUCAUGAGAUUUAACUUGUCUCGGUAACUUUAGCUUUAAUAAUUCUUCCUGGGGAGCGAUCAGACUGUCUGGGUGUUCCUAUCUUGGAGUCUUCUUCUUUCAAGUACCACCUUUCUUCAACUUCUUUGUUCUUUUCUUCACUAAAGUAAAAAAGAAAGAAAAUUUUGUUAUUCAUCAAAAUUUAAGAAUCUAAGAUCUGAAUAUGAUGCAUCCCUUGGUCCCUUUUCUUUGUUUCUCCUGUUGUACUUGCUUUUUUUUGGCACCUUCUCAGUUCUUCCAUAAAUGUCUUCUUAUUCAACAAUGAUACAAGGGCCAUUUGAUGGCAUUCAUGAAGCGUUCUGGAAGAAAUCCUGUUUUUCUUAACUGCUAUAUGCUUUGUAUAACUUCUUGGCAUUAAACCAGUAAGAAGUCAACUGUCACAUCUCCGCAGUAAUAUAUUCCUGCAAAAUUAACCCCCUUUGUAUACCUUCUUGGCAUUAAACCAGUAGAAUAAUAUAUUCCUGCAAAAUCCGUUCUAUCAGAUUCUUGCAUCAAGCAAAAAUGCAGAGAUGCAAAUGGCAGUCUACUGGGUAUUGGCUCUACUGCUUAGGACAGUGAUCUGCAGAAUUUGUCAAAUCACAAAACUUUUGGAGCCUUUUAUUUUAAGGAGUGCAACAAUUGUGAAAGUAAUGGUUACAAGUGUCUUACACCAAUUAAUUUUAUAUAUCUGUUGUAUUGCUUGUAACAAUGGACCAUCAUCCCUAUAUUUCAAUGGGAUAUGGCAUCUGAUGUUUGGGUUCUAUUAGCCCCAAGUUCUUGUAUAUGUGUGAGUUUAAUAAAAGCUUAGUUUAACAAA